CCUACGGGAGGCUGCAGUGGGGAAUAUUGGACAAUGGGGGGAACCCUGAUCCAGCGACGCCGCGUGAGUGAAGAAGUAUUUCGGUAUGUAAAGCUCUAUCAGCAGGGGAGAAAGAAAUGACGGUACCUGACUAAGAAGCCCCGGCUAACUACGUGCCAGCAGCCGCGGUAAUACGUAGGGGGCAAGCGUUAUCCGGAUUUACUGGGUGUAAAGGGAGCGUAGACGGCGAUGCAAGUCUGAAGUGAAAGGCGGGGGCCCAACCCCCAGACUGCUUUGGAAACUGGAUGGCUGGAGUGCAGGGGAGGUAAGUGGAAUUCCUAGUGUAGCGGUGAAAUGCGUAGAUAUUAGGAGGAACACCAGUGGCGAAGGCGGCUUACUGGACUGUAACUGACGUUGAGGCUCGAAAGCGUGGGGAGCAAACAGGAUUAGAUACCCCUGUAGUC
rnacentral:rRNA from 1 species